GAUGAACGCUGGCGGCGUGCCUAAUACAUGCAAGUCGAGCGAACGGACGAGAAGCUUGCUUCUCUGAUGUUAGCGGCGGACGGGUGAGUAACACGUGGAUCACCUACCUAUAAGACUGGGAUAACUUCGGGAAACCGGAGCUAAUACCGGAUAAUAUUUUGAACCGCAUGGUUCAAAAGUGAAAGACGGUCUUGCUGUCACUUAUAGAUGGAUCCGCGCUGCAUUAGCUAGUUGGUAAGGUAACGGCUUACCAAGGCAACGAUGCAUAGCCGACCUGAGAGGGUGAUCGGCCACACUGGAACUGAGACACGGUCCAGACUCCUACGGGAGGCAGCAGUAGGGAAUCGUCCGCAAUGGGCGAAAGCCUGACGGAGCAACGCCGCGUGAGUGAUGAAGGUCUUCGGAUCGUAAAACUCUGUUAUUAGGGAAGAACAUAUGUGUAAGUAACUGUGCACAUCUUGACGGUACCGAAUCAGAAAGCCACGGCUAACUACGUG
rnacentral:rRNA from 1 species